UUCCACUUUUAUGAAACGCAAUCACACACGAUCACACACCGUAGAAAUAAAUCAUUACUUCUGGAGACAUUUCCAUGUUCUAGACAUACCAAUAUCGUAGGAAACUAAGGAAAGCGACAACUGUUUUUUACAUCGUCAUUGUCAUCUACUAAACCUAUUGUUAUCCACUGUCAUCCACGAUAAUCCAUCGUUCUUUUUUCACUCCUGAAUCCAAAUAACUGCGUAUAUUCAAUGGAAGAAAUAUUUUUUCUUAAGAAAAGAAUAGUUUUGACUUUUACCGACAAAAAUUGGCAUCGUAGUAGCUGGUUGCACAGAGGGACCUAUAGAAAUUGAGGCGCCCACGGAGGAUAUUCAAGGAUAUGCUUUAUGUUAUGCACAUGAUGGUGCAGUCGCUGACUAUGUAAAAGCUAUGAAAUAAACAUAUUUUGUGAGUCUAUUUUGAUCACUGAUCAGUCGUUACGAUAUAUAGAAACGAGCGUAAUGGACAUUGAUGGCAUUUCGUUUUCUUAUUUUUCUUGUAAUGGAUGUAUGGAUUAAACACAUCAAGUCGACGUAAUUGACUGUCUCACUCAAGUUCGAAAUCACAGCAAUAAACGAAAAACAUUUUUCCUGAUUAUUUUUCUCGAAAUUUUAUUCGUUCAUCUUAACUAAACUCUCUAUUUUGGAUACCCCCGGAGGUGCAUGUUCUUGUUGACAAGAGAAAAGGGGUCUUAGGGGUGUAUGGCCUAUUGCAGUUUGUCAGUUUCGGAAGUUCACAAUAUCAACCCGUGACCCUCAUAGACAGACAACAUCCACAAUUAUUUCGACCAGAGUUUAUGAGCACUGUACGCAUUAACCAGUUCUUUUACCAAUUUGGGGCAAUGAUGGGGUUCGCCGCGCUUUCGUAAUUCUAUGGUUGCCACAAGCCACCCGAAAAAAAGCCACUCGUGCCU